AGUUACUCUCUCCCAGUGCCACUCAAGAAUUUUCUCUCGCAGAUCGCUCAAUCCCCUUCUCCCCGUCGUGCAUCGUCGCCGUCGUCGGCUACCUUGGUCACGCAGUGUGGUUACGCCACGGUGGGUUCAUUGCCGACGGCUUUCUGUUUCGCGCACUCCUCUGUGCACCGAACUCCACGCCGACACACACUCUUUCUUUGGUUUAAACUGCGACAAACCGAGGCUCACCAGAGACAUCCUCUCACCUGCGAAGGCAUUGAAAUCAGUUCUAGACAGCGUCUUCUAGCCACCGAUUUCGAGAAUCAACCUUACGAAAUUUGGAGUUGUGACUUCUCGGUUGGGUUGAAAUGUGGACAGUGUUUGGGUUGUCAUAUUGCUAGAGUUUGAAUUCAAGGCUUAGGUAAUUCUCUGCAAGAGUCAGGAUGCCACCUUGUCGUCGUGUACAAAACCUCUCGGAUUUGAACGCAUCUAAUGAUGAAGGAGAAGCCAAUACAAGCGCUUCUAAGGUACUCCAAGUGGUAGCACAACAAUUAAUGGAAGAGAUUGCCCAAAAUCCUCCAGGUCGCAACUGCAACAGUAGUGAGGAGGGUUGUACCUUUGAACAGUUUAAUUGGAUGCACCUUCCCUCAUUUGAUAGAAGAGGCGACUCGACCCUAGCAGAGGAUUAGAUCCAGGACAUAAAGGAAAUUCUCCAAGUCCUGAAUUGCACAGACGGGCAAAAAGUGUUGUACUCCACCUUCAAGCUAAUGGGUGAAGCUAAACGUUGGUGGAUUUCAGAGAGAACCAUCAGGGAAGCUGAUGGGAGAGGAGUCGUUACGUGGCCCUAUUUCAAACAGAUCUUCUUUGAUCACUUCUUCCCAAGAUCGGUCUCAGAUGCUAAAGCCAAGGAGUUUUCCAGUUUAGAUCAGGGGACUAUGACAUUGCACCAGUAUGCUGCCAGAUUUGUAGAGCUGUCUCGCUUCGCCUCUUAUUUGAUCCCCAAUGAAGAUAAGAAGGUCUGGAAAUUUGAAGAGGGUCUGAACCACAGAAUAUAUGAACGAGUGGUGGCAUUUCAAGUUAAGAACUUCUCAGAAUUAGUGGAUAAGGUGAUGAUAAUUGAGCGGAGUCUUAAAAUAAGUAUAAAACAUCAAGAUCAGAGGAAGAGAACUACACUGCAGGGGUCCUACUCUAGCAUGGAUCAAGGGUCUUGGAAGAAGAGAAAAUAAGGGAGCAGCUAAAGUCAGAGGUCAAUGCAGGGCAAUCAGCUAAACCAACCGAAUAAUCUUUGUAGGUCUUGCAAUCGAGCACCCACUGGAGAAUGCAGAAGAGAAGUGGGAUUGUGUUUCCGAUGCAGUAAAUCCGGUCAUUACAUUAGAGAAUGCCCAUUACUAUUGGAGGAUAACAAGAAGCCCAACCCACCUCAGAGAUCCAGAUCAUCGACACGAGACAACACUCAAAGUAAUAGUGUGCCAGCUUGAGUGUUUGCACUAACUCCUGGAGAAGCCGAGGAAAACAUUGAUCAGAAAAGGUCUAUCUGGACCAGUAACCAAUCCAUCAGCUGCUGAAAAACACGAUUGCAGUGUUCCUCAACUGCAAGUAUUCAGUCUUUCCAGCAUCACAGAGGCCACAAAAAAUUUCUCAAUUGCAAAAAAGAUUGGAGAAGGUGGUUUUGGCUCUAUCUACAAGGACAAGUUACCUAGAGAACAGGAAAUAGCUGUGAAGAGACUGUCCAAAACUUCUACUCGAGGACAUGAAGAGUUCACUAAUGAGGUCACUCUUACCGCUAGACUUCAACAUGUAAAUCUAGUUAGAGUGAUAGGGUUCUGCAUUGAGAAUGAUGAAAAGAUGCUAAUCUAUGAAUACAUGCCAAACAAAAGCUUGAAUUUCUACCUCUUUGGUAUGUCUUCCUUUCUUUUGUUUUUAAUUCUCUUUUAUGUUUCCAUGACUCAUUUAGCUUUCCUAUUUCAUGAUCAUAAACGAGUUGAAUACUCAGUGAAUUCAGUAAAAGGUUGUAAAAAAAAGGUUGUAUGUCUAUCAUUUGCCUUCAGUAAGAUAUCCUUGUUUGAUACCACUCUUAGCCAAACUGA